AGGCGCGAAUUGAUGCGCAAACGGGAUAUCCGCACCGGAGCGAACUUAAGCGAGGCGAGCGAUGACAGGUGGCGGUCAGGCCUCGGCACGGCAGGCCGAAGAAUCCGACUCCGAGCGGCCGAGGAAAAGGGACGGGCGAGAGGAAGGCGUUUCCAAGGAGGGCUUCGUUGCAGCGGAGGUCGACGCCGGGCGGCACGUCGGUGACCGGUGACGCUCUGUCUCGUGAGGGAUGAAGCGGAACCCGGCGGAUGGGGGAGCGUCCCGGUUAGAUGACCUUUUCCCCAUGAGAAGGGAAUCUGGAUUCUGCCCUCUGAAAGCCCCGACCAACUGCACAACAAGCCUUGUUAAGGGCCAAUCGGCACACAAUACCUGACUUAGUCCCACCUCGCCAAAAGUAUAAAUCUGGCAUUUAGAAUCCUCUUUUUUGAGGAUGAGAACUCCAACUAUCCGGACGGGUCGACGGGCCUGGACCUCUCUCUCCUCCCCAAGCAGGGACGCCUCUUUGGUAAGACUUGCGCCUCCGAUUAUGUCGGAUGUUACCCCGGGAAAACUAUCAUUAACAAAAGCGCUGAACUAUUAACUUGAGCUCAAAAUUGUUGCAGUAAGUGCAUUUAUCAACGGCAGUUCCAAAC